CCUACGGGUGGCUGCAGUGGGGAAUAUUGGGCAAUGGAGGCAACUCUGACCCAGCAACGCCGCGUGAAUGAUGAAGGUCUUCGGAUUGUAAAGUUCUGUGAUGGGGGAUGAACACAAUGACGGUACCCCAAUAGCAAGCCACGGCUAACUCCGUGCCAGCAGCCGCGGUAAUACGUAGGUGGCAAGCGUUAUCCGGAAUGACUGGGCGUAAAGGGUGUGUAGCCGGAGAGGCAAGUCAGAUGUGAAAUCCGCGGGCUCAACUCGCGAACUGCAUUUGAAACUGCUUCCCUUGCGUAUCGGAGAGGUGAUCGGAAUUCCUAGUGUCGCGGUGACAUGCGUAGAUAUUAGGAAGAACCCCAGUGGCGAAGGCGGAUUACUGGACGACCACUGACGGUGAGGCGCGAAAGCGUGGGGAGCACACAGGAUUAGAUACCCCAGUAGUC
rnacentral:rRNA from 1 species